rnacentral:rRNA from 1 species
CUUAGUGGCAGACGGGUGAGUAACAUGUGGGUAUCUACCCUUUGGCCUGGAAUAACACGAGGAAACUUGUGCUAAUACCGGAUAAGUCUUUACGGAGAAAGCUUUAUGCACCAUUGGAUGAGCCCGCACUUGAUUAGUUUGUUGGUAGGGUAAUGGCCUACCAAGACUAUGAUCAAUAGCUGAUUUGAGAGGAUGAUCAGCCACAUUGGGACUGAGACACGGCCCAAACUCCUACGGGAGGCAGCAGUGGGGAAUCUUGCACAAUGGGGGAAACCCUGAUGCAGCGAUGCCGCGUGAGUGAAGAAGGCCUUUGGGUUGUAAAACUCUUUCGUCGGGGAAGAAAAUGACUGUACCCGAA